GCUGCGUCAGCUGGAGAUGCAGUUGGAACAGGAGUCCACGAGAAACACGACCAGGAGGGACUGAUAUCUACACUCUGUGACCAGGGUCAGGAGCAGAGAACAUCAGUGGAGAGAGGGGAGCAGAGACAGCAAGGGCAGUUCGUCACUCCAGUGCCAUGCCGUUAACCUUCGCAACCCUGGGCCAGACUGCACUCAAUCAUAGGACCUACUGAAGAGAGGAGUCUUCAGGAGACUGAGUCUGCGUCUCUCGCAUGGGACAAAACCAAAUCCAGGGUAUGACUGUGGCAAUGCGUAGGUCCGAAGACAUGUUGGACCAAACCCACUGAGUCGAUGAUGGCUCCGAACGCCUUUUGGAGUGGGCCACAGGGACUUUGACGUGGAGAAGAGACUGAGGAGAGAUCUGAAGAGAACCCAUGCUCUGCUGGUGGACGCUCAGCUACUACCGUCUACCAUAGACAAAC